UUAAGUCUUGACGAGUAAGAGGGUCGCGACGGUGAGCGCAGAAGGGUCAGGGCGAGAGCCUGCCUGGAGCCGCCGUUGGUGCAGAUCUUGGUGGUAGUAGCAAAUACUCUAGCGAGGGCCUGGAGGACUGACGUGGAGAAGGGUUUCUUGUGAACAGCCGUUGCACAAGAGUCAGUCGACCCUGAGCCCUAGGAGAAAUCCGAUGACGAUGGGUGGCUUGACAAUAUAUGUACACACACAAUCAAUUACAGACCACAGACUGUGUCUGUCGUUUGAGCAACACAAUGUGCUGCUUGCGACUGAACAGCUCCUAUUGGGCAAAAGGGAAUCCGGUUCCUAUUCCGGAACCCGGCUGCGUAACCGCAUCUUUGCGGGCACUUGCUUGCGAGCGCUCGUCGGGGUAACCCAAACUGGCCUGGAGACGCCGGCGGGGGGUCUGGAAAGAGUUUUCUUUUCUUUAUAAGCGUUCGAGUACCCUGGAAUCCUAUAGCAGGGAGAUAGGGUUUGGAACGCGAAGAGCACCGCAGUUGCGGCGGUGUCCGGACCUUCCCCCCGGACCUUGAAAAUCCAGGUGAGGGCCACGCGGAAGUCGCGCCGG
rnacentral:rRNA from 1 species